rnacentral:rRNA from 1 species
AGAGUUUGAUCCUGGCUCAGAACGAACGCUGGCGGCGUGGAUUAGGCAUGCAAGUCGAACGAAGUCAGGGGAAUUGGCAACAAGACCCCGAAACUUAGUGGCGAAAGGGUGAGUAACACGUGGGCAAUCUGCCCUAAACCUGGGGAUAACUGGCUGAAAGGCCUGUUAAUACCGAAUGUGGUCACCGAAAGACAUCUUUUGGUGAUUAAAGGUGGGGACCUUCGGGCCUACCGGUUUAGGAUGAGCCCGUGGCCUAUUAGCUUGUUGGUAAGGUAGUGGCUUACCAAGGCGAUGAUGGGUAGCCGGACUGAGAGGUUGACCGGCCACACUGGGACUGAGACACUGCCCAGACUCCUACGGGAGGCUGCAGUCGAGAAUCUUUCGCAAUGGGCGCAAGCCUGACGAAGCGACGCCGCGUGGGCGAUGAAGGCCUUCGGGUUGUAAAGCCCUGUCACGGGGGAUGAAACGCACAGAUGCUAAUAUCGUCUGUGUUUGACAGUACCUCGAGAGGAAGCUCCGGCCAACUCCGUGCCAGCAGCCGCGGUAAUACGGGGGGAGCAAGCGUUGUUCGGAUUUAUUGGGCGUAAAGGGCGUCUAGGCGGUAUGGCAAGUUGGAUGUGAAAUCCCUCGGCUUAACCGAGGAAGUGCAUCCAAAACUGCCAAACUUGAGUAUGGUAGAAGUGAGCGGAAUUCUCAGUGUAGCGGUGGAAUGCGUAGAUAUUGAGAAGAACACCAGUGGCGAAGGCGGCUCACUAGAUCAAUACUGACGCUGAAGCGCGAAAGCCAGGGGAGCGAACGGGAUUAGAUACCCCGGUAGUCCUGGCCGUAAACGAUGUGCACUGGGUGUAGGAGGAAUCGACCCCUCCUGUGCCGAAGUUAACGCAUUAAGUGCACCGCCUGGGGAGUACGGCCGCAAGGCUGAAACUCAAAGGAAUUGACGGGGGCCCGCACAAGCGGUGGAGCAUGUGGUUUAAUUCGAUGCAACGCGAAGAACCUUACCAGGGCUUGACAUGCACUGGACAGUUCGCGAAAGCGAAUCUUCCUUCGGGACCGGUGCACAGGUGCUGCAUGGCUGUCGUCAGCUCGUGUCGUGAGAUGUUGGGUUAAGUCCCGCAACGAGCGCAACCCUUAUCGUUAGUUGCCAGCACUACGGGUGGGGACUCUAACGAGACUGCCGGUGAUAAACCGGAGGAAGGUGGGGAUGACGUCAAGUCAGUAUGGCCCUUACGUCCUGGGCUACACACGUGCUACAAUGGUCGGUACAGAGGGUUGCCAAGCCGCGAGGUGGAGCUAAUCCCAGAAAGCCGGCCCCAUUUCGGAUUGGAGUCUGCAACUCGACUCCAUGAAGUUGGAAUCGCUAGUAAUGGCGCAUCAGCUACGGCGCCGUGAAUACGUUCCCGGGCCCUGUACACACCGCCCGUCACAUCACGAAAGUUGACUGUACCAGAAGUCGCUGAGCUAACCCCGUUUCGGCGGGGAGGCAGGCGCCGAAGGUAUGGUUGAUGAUUGGGAUGAAGUCGUAACAAGGUA